rnacentral:rRNA from 1 species
UUGUACCGACUGGAUGAGCAGCGAACGGGUGAGUAACGCGUGGGGAAUCUGCCUUUGAGCGGGGGACAACAUUUGGAAACGAAUGCUAAUACCGCAUAAAAACUUUAAACACAAGUUUUAAGUUUGAAAGAUGCAAUUGCAUCACUCAAAGAUGAUCCCGCGUUGUAUUAGCUAGUUGGUGAGGUAAAGGCUCACCAAGGCGAUGAUACAUAGCCGACCUGAGAGGGUGAUCGGCCACAUUGGGACUGAGACACGGCCCAAACUCCUACGGGAGGCAGCAGUAGGGAAUCUUCGGCAAUGGACGAAAGUCUGACCGAGCAACGCCGCGUGAGUGAAGAAGGUUUUCGGAUCGUAAAACUCUGUUGGUAGAGAAGAACGUUGGUGAGAGUGGAAAGCUCAUCAAGUGACGGUAACUACCCAGAAAGGGACGGCUAACUACGUGCCAGCAGCCGCGGUAAUACGUAGGUCCCGAGCGUUGUCCGGAUUUAUUGGGCGUAAAGCGAGCGCAGGUGGUUUAUUAAGUCUGGUGUAAAAGGCAGUGGCUCAACCAUUGUAUGCAUUGGAAACUGGUAGACUUGAGUGCAGGAGAGGAGAGUGGAAUUCCAUGGGUAGCGGGUGUGUGAAAAC